CUAAUACAUGCAAGUUGAACGCAUCCCGUUGAAUUGAAGUGCUUGCACUGAUAGUCAACAUCGGAUGAGUGGCGAACUGGUGAGUAACACGUGGGUAACCUGCCCAGAAGCGGGGGAUAACACUUGGAAACAGGUGCUAAUACCGCAUGACAACAAAAACCGCAUGGUUUUUGUUUGAAAGAUGGUUUCGGCUAUCACUUCUGGAUGGACCCGCGGCGUAUUAGCUAGUUGGUGGAGUAAUGGUUCACCAAGGCAAUGAUACGUAGCCGACCUGAGAGGGUAAUCGGCCACAUUGGGACUGAGACACGGCCCAAACUCCUACGGGAGGCAGCAGUAGGGAAUCUUCCACAAUGGACGAAAGUCUGAUGGAGCAACGCCGCGUGAGUGAAGAAGGCUUUAGGGUCGUAAAACUCUGUUGUUGAAGAAGAACGUGUGUGAGAGUAACUGUUCACACAGUGACGGUAUUCAACCAGAAAGCCACGGCUAACUACGUGCCAGCAGCCACGGUAAUACGUAGGUGGCAAGCGUUGUCCGGAUUUAUUGGGCGUAAAGCGAGCGCAGGCGGUUUCUUAAGUCUGAUGUGAAAGCCUUCGGCUUAACCGGAGAAGUGCAUCGGAAACUGGGAGACUUGAGUGCAGAAGAGGACAGUGGAACUCCAUGUGUAGCGGUGAAAUGCGUAGAUAUAUGGAAGAACACCAGUGGCGA
rnacentral:rRNA from 1 species